rnacentral:tRNA from 1 species
UAUUUAUAUAGUAUAAUAAUAAUUAUUUUUAACUUCCAAUUAAAAGAUCUUUAAUUAAGUAUAAAUAA